UACGAGUGGUGCAAACGUUAUUCGGAAUCACUGGGCUUAAAGGGUGCGUAGGCUGCUAUGAAGGUCUGGUGUGAAAUACCACGGCUCAACCGUGGAAUGGCAUUGGAAACCACAUAGCUGGAGUGAGACAGAGGUGAGCGGAACUGAUGGUGGAGCGGUGAAAUGCGUUGAUAUCAUCAGGAACACCGGUGGCGAAAGCGGCUCACUGGGUCUCUACUGACGCUGAGGCACGAAAGCUAGGGUAGCGAACGGG
rnacentral:rRNA from 1 species